rnacentral:rRNA from 1 species
AUUGAACGCUGGCGGCAGGCCUAACACAUGCAAGUCGAGCGAGCGGCGGACGGGGGAGUAAGGUCUGGGAAACUGCCUGAUGGAGGGGGGUAAAUACUGGAAAAGGUAGCUAAGACCGCAUACCAUCAGAUGUGCCGAGAUGGGAUUAGCUAGUAGGUGGGGGAACGGCUCCCCUAGGCGACGAUCCCUAGCUGGUCUGAGGGGAUGACCAGCAAAACUGGAUCUGAGACACGGUCCAUCUCCCGACGAGGUGCAGCAGUGGGGAAUAUUGCACUAUGGGCGAAAGCGGGAGGCAGCCAUGGCGCGUGUGUGAAGAAGGCCUGCGGGUUGUAAAGCACUUGCAGCGGGGAGGCGUGACCCGCAGAAGAAGCACCGCCUAACUCCGGGCCAGCAGCCGAGGUAAUA